rnacentral:misc_RNA from 1 species
AACGCACAUUGCGCCCUUUGGUAUUCCGAAGGGCAUGCCUGUUCGAGCGUCAUUUAAACUCUCAAGCCCAGCUUGGUAUUGGGGAGGGCCGUCUGGCCGCCCUGCAACGCGUUGAGCGUGAGCGUCUGGCUUCAAGCGUAGCAAGUUCCUCGCUUCGUCGUCCGGCGUCCGUCGCCUUGCAAUUUCUUCCACAGUUUGACCUCGGAUCAGGUAGGGAUACCCGCUGAACUUAA